rnacentral:snRNA from 1 species
AUGCAUUUGGGACACAAUGUCUC